rnacentral:rRNA from 1 species
AACCGGGAUUGCCUUAGUAACGGCGAGUGAAGCGGCAAAAGCUCAAAUUUGAAAUCUGGCGUCUUCGACGUCCGAGUUGUAAUUUGAAGAAGGUAACUUUGUAGCUGGUCCUUGUCUAUGUUCCUUGGAACAGGACGUCAUAGAGGGUGAGAAUCCCGUGUGGCGAGGAUCCCAGUUAUAUGUAAAGUGCUUUCGACGAGUCGAGUUGUUUGGGAAUGCAGCUCUAAGUGGGUGGUAAAUUCCAUCUAAAGCUAAAUAUUGGCGAGAGACCGAUAGCGAACAAGUACAGUGAUGGAAAGAUGAAAAGAACUUUGAAAAGAGAGUGAAAAAGUACGUGAAAUUGUUGAAAGGGAAGGGCAUUUGAUCAGACAUGGCGUUUGCUUCGGCGUUCGCUGGGCCAGCAUCAGUUUUAGCGGUUGGAUAAAUCCUCGGGAAUGUAGCUCUACCUCGGUAGAGUGUUAUAGCCCGUGGGAAUACAGCCAGCUGGGACUGAGGAUUGCGACUUUUGUCAAGGAUGCUGGCGUAAUGGUUAAAUGCCGCCCGUCUUGAAACACGGACCAAGGAGUCUAACGUCUAUGCGAGUGUUUGGGUGUAAAACCCGUACGCGUAAUGAAAG